GAGUACGGCCGCAAGGCUGAAACUUAAAGGAAUUGGCGGGGGAGCACUACAACGGGUGGAGCCUGCGGUUUAAUUGGACUCAACGCCGGAAAACUCACCGGGGGCGACAGCAAUAUGUAGGUCAGGUUAAAGGUCUUACCUGAAUCGCUGAGAGGAGGUGCAUGGCUGUCGUCAGUUCGUACUGUGAAGCAUCCUGUUAAGUCAGGCAACGAGCAAGACCCGUGCCCACUGUUACCAGCAUAUCCUUUAUGGAUGAUGGGGACUCUGUGGGGACCGCUGCUGCUAAAGCAGAGGAAGGUGCGGGCUACGGUAGGUCAGUAUGCCCCGAAUCUCCCGGGCUACACGCGGGCUACAAUGGUUGGGACAAUGGGUAUCUACUCCGAAAGGAGUUGGCAAUCCCUUAAACCCAAUCGUAGUUCGAAUUGAGGGCUGUAACUCGCCCUCAUGAAGCUGGAAUCCGUAGUAAUCGCGUUUCAACAUAGCGCGGUGAAUCUGUCCCUGCUCCUUGCACACACCGCCCGUCAAACCAUCCGAGUGAGGUAUGGGUGAGGGCACGAACUUAGUGUCGUGCUCGAACCUAAAUUUCGCAAGGAGGGUUAAGUCGUAACAAGGUAGCCGUAGGGGAAUCUGCGGCUGGAUCACCUCCU
rnacentral:rRNA from 1 species